CCCUGCAAAGUUUCAAAUUUACUUCAUCUCCACAUUUUUUGGACUGAACAUGCCACAAUUUUUUACCUGUCCAGGUGUUGCAAGCAAAGUUCCUGGAAAGUAAACUUUAGAUUUGUCAUCUCCCCGUUUCGAAAAAAGAUUUGUCAUCUCCACACUUUUUUCUGAACUAUACUAGCCACAUAAUUUACAUAAACUUUUUUCACAUGCGAAUAUGAACAACAGCAAAAAAUCAUUUGAGCAACUCACAAGCAUAAAAUACAAUGCAAUUCUUUCCACACAUUUGAGACGACGUCUUCAUUUUUAGCAGAUGAGAUAGUAGUACAGGUGUUUAGGUUCAGUUUAAAAAAGAAGAGAAAGAUGGAAACAUAGUAGUUAUAAUUCUUGUAGGCAUUUCAACAAAUAGUGGAGGGUCACCCAGGGGAAGAAGGAAUUGGGAUCAUGCAUCAACCUGGACUGUUGUGUGUGCUCGACUUGGACGGCUAUGCAGCACGUGGUAAAGAUGGUGGCCACGAUUCUACUUGGACUGUUGUCCGCGCUCCACUUUGACGGCUGCCAGUAACCAUGGUGGAUGAGCUCGUGGUCGAGGGCGGCCAAGGCGAC
rnacentral:lncRNA from 1 species